GAUGAACGCUGGCGGCGUGCUUAACACAUGCAAGUCGAACGGGAUCCCAGGAGCUUGCUCCUGGGUGAGAGUGGCGAACGGGUGAGUAAUGCGUGACCGACCUGCCCCAUACACCGGAAUAGCUCCUGGAAACGGGUGGUAAUGCCGGAUGCUCCAGUUGACCGCAUGGUCCUCUGGGAAAGAUUCAUCGGUAUGGGAUGGGGUCGCGUCCUAUCAGCUUGAUGGCGGGGUAACGGCCCACCAUGGCUUCGACGGGUAGCCGGCCUGAGAGGGCGACCGGCCACAUUGGGACUGAGAUACGGCCCAGACUCCUACGGGAGGCAGCAGUGGGGAAUAUUGCACAAUGGGCGCAAGCCUGAUGCAGCGACGCCGCGUGCGGGAUGACGGCCUUCGGGUUGUAAACCGCUUUUGACUGGGAGCAAGCCCUUCGGGGUGAGUGUACCUUUCGAAUAAGCACCGGCUA
rnacentral:rRNA from 1 species